GUUCCUCGACUAUCUAAGGGAAUGUGGGAUAGUCUCACAAUUGACACCUCCCAGGACACCACAGUUGAAUGGUGUGGCUGAGAGGCGUAAUCGAACCUUGUUAGAUAUGGUUCGUUCCAUGAUGAGUCGAGCUACGCUACCAAUCUCAUUCUGGGGGUAUGCCUUAGAGACUGCCGCCCAUAUUCUUAAUCUAGUCCCUACAAAGAAAGUUGCCAAAACUCCUCACGAGAUGUGGACUGGUAAAGUACCUAAACUAGACCACAUCAAGAUUUGGGGUUGCGAGGCUUUCGUGAGACGCGAGACUCAUGAUAAGCUCGAACCUCGAAGCGAGAGGUGUAUUUUCAUCGGUUACCCACAGCAAUCCUUUGGUUACCUCUUCUACAGACCUAGUGAAAAUGUGGUCUUUGUAGCUAGGAGGGCUUUCUUUAGAGAGAGAGAGAGUUCAUAAGCCAAGGAAACAGUGGGAGGCAAGUUGAUCUUGAAGAAAUUCAAGAGUCAAGCGGUGAAGGAACUUCAAACCCCUAGCACUCAACUUGAGGAGGAAACUCUUGUUGAGCCAAUUGACAAGUCUGUACCUAUAAGGCGUUCCACAAGGGUUAGGAAUGAACUUGAGCAUUACUAUGGAUUCCAUAUUACUACAGAAGGUGAUACACUUAUCAGUGAUGAGACACUGAUAGGUCUUGAUGAACCUAACAGUUACGCGGAAGCCAUGGCAGGCCCUGAGUCAGCCAAGUGGAAAGAGGCAAUGGACAGCGAAAUACAGUCCAUGUAUGACAAUCAAGUUUGGAACUUGGUUGAGAAUGUACCAGGUCGUAAGACAGUAGGGUGCAAAUGGAUCUUCAAGAAGAAGACCGACAUGGAUGGUAAAGUACACACUUAUAAGGAACGACUAAUUGCAAAGGGUUUCUCACAAACUCCGGUAGUUAAUAUGAUGAGACCUUUUCUCCAGUGGCUAAGAUGUCUAUUAGGNUUAGCCAUAGCUGCAUUUCAUGACUAUGAAAUAUGGAAGAUGGAUGUCAAAACCGCUUUCCUUAAUGGAAAGUUGGCUGAAGAUGUUUACAUGAGUCAGCCAGAGGGUUUUGUCAGCAACGAGUACCCUAAUAGAGUGUGUAAGCUUGAGAAAUCCAUUUAUGGAUUGAAGCAAGCACCUCGCAGAUGGAAUCUUUGCUUUGAUGAAAAGGUCAAGGAAUUUGGCUUUUCUAGGAGUGAAGAUGAGUCUUGCGUGUAUGUCAAGGCUAGUGGGAGUAUAGUUAGCUUUUUGGUAUUGUAUGUGGAUGACAUACUACUCAUAGGAAAUGACAUCCCAACUCUGCAGGAAGUUAAGUCCUGGCUUGGGAAGUGUUUCUCUAUGAAGGACCUAGGAGAAGCUACCUAUAUUCUAGGGAUAAGGAUCUUGAAAGAUCGGAGUAAAAGACUAAUUGGACUUAGUCAGAGUACCUACUUGGAUAAGGUGUUGAAGAGAUUCAGCAUGCAGGACUCCAAGAAAGGAGAGUUACCCAUCCAGAGUAAUGCCAGAUUGAAUAAGACACAAAGCCCUAGAACUGAGGCUGAGAUAGCAUAAAUGAGUCGAAUACCUUAUGCUUCGGCUGUAGGAUCGAUCAUGUAUGCUAUGACGUGUACUCGACCUGAUGUAGCCUUUGCCCUGAGCAUGGUUAGCAGGUAUCAUGGGAACCCUUCCAAGGCACACUGGACUGCGGUAAAGAAUAUUCUCAAGUACCUACGGAGGACUAAGGUAUAGGUCCUUACCCUUAGUGGGAGUGAUGACUUGAGGGUUGUAGGGUAUAGUGAUGCUAGCUUUCAGACGGAUAGGGAUAAUUUCUGCUCUCAGUCAGGCUGGGUCUUUACCCUAAACGGAGGAGAAAUUUCUUGGAAGAGUUCCAAGCAAGAGACAGUGGCUGAUUCAACUUGUGAAUCAGAGUAUAUUGCAGCUAGCGAGGCAGCAAAGGAGGUGAUAUGGCUGAAGAACUUCAUUGGAGACCUUGGAGUUGUACCAGCUAUUAAAGAGCCAAUGGAAAUUUUCUGUGAUAGUGAAAGCAUUGUCGCCUUACCCAAGGAACCAAGGGAUCAUGGGAGUGUUGGAUAUAGUGUCUAAGUCCAUAACUAUAUUUGGUAUAUACUUGACCGGACCCGGCAUGGUCCAUUUGGGUUGCACUUCACCCGAACAAUUUAUGGAUAAUAUUUGAGAAUAGUACAAGUUAUGAUUUAUUAAUAUAUUAUAAGUUCUAAUAUAUUAAUAUAAGAUCAUAUUAUUUAAUUAGUAGUGAUCUAUAAUUAAUCUAGGAUUAAUUUAGUGAUCAAAGAUAUUACUAAUUAAAUAUGGGCUUCUAUAUUUAUAUAGUGUGGGCUUAUGCUUAUUUGGAAUGGGCUAGGCUUGGAUGGAGAAGUCCAUGGAUACUCCAUGGAGCUUUAACCCAUGGAUCUCAUGGAAAUGAAGAGAAAUGGGUAUUAGGGUUUACAUGGAUGUAACCCUAAUCCACCACACUAUAUAAAGGAGGCUUUGGCUCUUGAAAUCAAACUAGUUGACACAUGUUGAGGUGAGGGCCGAUUUCAAGAGAAGUGUGACUAUUCUCUCAAAGUUCCAAGUUUGUGGUGAUUUGUGACUUUCAUUUGAGGCAUCCACAUUAUUGGUGCUAGGCUCUAAAACUCCAAGGAAUCAACUACAACUACAAGGUAAGUGUUUCUACUAGCUUUAUUUGAUUCAAGUUCCCCAUGCCAUGCUAGUUAGGAUAUAAGCCUUGGAAAAAUAAUUAUUUGCAUGUAUCUUAGACAAACAUAGAUCCAAGGUUUAUUAGGGUUGCAUGUACACUUAGGAAGUGUUAGAAUGCUCAAAACCCAUCAGUGGUAUCAGAGCCUAGGCUUGUUUGUUUGAUACUUGUUGCAAUAUGCUUGAAAAAGUCGAAAUCUUGCUGUCUGACUGAUGGACUCGCCGAGUCCAUGGGGGGACUCGCCGAGUCCACUUGUAUCUUCAACCUACUCGCCGAGUAGGUUCAUGCACUCGACGAGUAGGGUCGACAGAGUGCAGUUUUUCGACUUUAGUUGCUGGAAAUGGAUUAGAAACAUUACCCUAAACUGUUUUGGUACUUGAAAACUUGUUUUAGAAGGUGUAAUGUCUUUUCUAACUCAUUUACAACAACUAGUUAUCAAAAUUACAAAGAUUAAGUGUGAUUUUGAUAUAUGAAAGUGUUCAUGUUCAUGAUCUUGUUCUUAUGAUGUUUAGAUGAUCAUAGGAAUUAUUUGUAACCUAUGUGGUAGAUUAAUUCUUGAUCAUAAUGUUAUUUAAUGGAGUCCAUAACUUGUCCUCAAGUUAUGGAAAACCAAAAGUCUCUUGGAUUGAAAACCAUUAAAAGAACACAAGAGUUAGAAAAGUGAAGAGUCUUCAUUUUAUUACUCUAUUAAACUCAUAAGUUACAAGAUAUGAAAAGUUUUGAAAGUUUACAAAACUUGCCCUCAAGUUUUGGAACAAGUAAAGUCAAGUUAAAACUUUAGUUCCAACCCUUAGAAUUUUAAAAGUUAAAAUUCAACCCUUAUACUUAUAUUAUUAUGAUUUAAUAAUUAUAUAUAUAUAUAUAAGAACAAAGUCGUCUUACCGCUAGUACGCCUCAUUCACGAAGCCGGUCUAUAAGGUGGGUAUAAGGUUGUUGCCUAUAAAAUGGUGACUUAAUGGGUGUCCACUCUCACCCACCGCUUGCUUGACCGGUGGAGGGUCGUUAGCCGAACGGGUAAGACAAGGACUUAUAAAUUCUCAUUCAAAGUAUGAUGAAUAUUAUAAAGUAACUAAAUGUUUUAUUAAAUUCCCAAUCUUAGUUACUUUAGGAAAAAUGUGAAUAAGGUGCUAUUCCAUGAAAUUACACUUUACACUUUGAUUAAGUCGUUGGUGGAGCGUGUGUGGUUAACCGGCACACUAACUUGGACUUAACAAGGUAGGUAAAGGGUGACUUAGGGUUUAUUAUAGUAUCGAUGGAGCGUGUGUGGUUAACCGGCACAUCGAUUGAGUGAUAAACUUUAAGGGUACCAAGUGAUUUGCAUGGUUACUUCACACCUCGUUUUGUGAUCCUCGGUAUCCCAGUCACAAAACUUGGAGGGCACACUCGAGAUUGAAACAUGCCUUUGAAAAGUUCAUUGAAUCUCAAAGAAUCUAGGAAUUUCUAAGAACCAUUCAAAAACCUAAUACUAAAAUAUUGCGGUUUUCGUGGUGGAAAUUGGUGAAUCGUCAUUCACCUACCUUUCAAAUAUGAUAUAGCUUAGAUUACGGCAUACCUCUUCUAAGUUAUAUUAUAUUGUGAUUGGAUCCUAGCCUUAAUAUUACAUUUGGGUGUUUUAUUAAGGACUCUCUUAUAUCUAAACUAAUCUUGUCCUCUUUCCUUCAGAUGUCUUUCAACAAUGCUUCUGGCUCUAAUCCUAAUGGCUCCUUUACCCUUAUGAACUUGUGUGGGAAAGUCACCUUUGAUGGAUCCAACUUCAAUGAGUGGAUCAGAAACAUCAGGAUGAUUACCCGCUACGAGGACAAAGAAUAUGUCCUUGACAAGGAGCUUAAGGAGAUUGAUGAGUCCACUGCAACUCCUCAGGAGAUCGCUGAAUUUCGGGCACAUGAAAGGGAUGCUACGAAAGUGGCUUGCAUCAUGAUGGCCACGAUGACAGCGGAACUCCAAAAGUCUUAUGAGGAUUUCUACCCUUAUGAAAUGCACCAAGAUUUGAUGGAAAGAUACCAUCAAAGUGCAAGACAAGAGAGGUAUGAAAUCAUCUGCUCCAUGAUAACAACCAUGAUGAAGGACGGGGAAUCCGUCACGAGCCACAUGCAGAAAAUGCAAAGGUAUGUGGAUCGUUUGCUGAAGCUUAAUGUGAACUUCCCGGAGGAUCUUGCAAUAGAUAUUAUUUUGCAUUCCUUACCAUCGUGCUAUGAUCAAUUCCGCAUGACAUAUCACAUGAACAAGGAAGAAGUCACCCUCAGCAAACUUCAGGGACUUCUCAAGACCGCAGAAUCAGGUCUUAAGGGGAAGUCGGUUGCUAUCACUCCUACUCAAAACUCUACUCCGGUUUUGGCAAUCGGGAAAAGUCGAGGGAGGAAGAGAAAGAGCUCUUCUAAGGGUACCAAGGUUCGGACCCUUGAUGGCUCUUCUUCAAGUGGAACCAAGAAAGGUUUCAUUACUCCUUCUUCUGACCCAAAAGAGGCUGAAUGCUUCUAUUGCCAUGAAAAAGCUCAUUGGAAGCGGAACUGCCCAAAAUACCAGCAAGAUGUGAAGGAUGGGAAAGUUAAACCCAACCAUGCAGGUAUUUACACUAUCAUUUCUAAUAACUCACCCCAUUCUAAUUCUUGGGUCCUUGAUACCGGGUGUGGUAUUCACAUUUGUUGUGACUUGCAGGGACUAAGAAGAAGUGAGGAUGUGGAGCAAGGAAGGAUAAACUUGAUCAUGGGGAAUAGGAAAGCUAUACCUGUUACCAAGAUUGGAGUUUAUACUUUAUCGCUAAGUAGUGGGUUUAGUUUAGAUUUGAAUAAGUGUUGUUAUUCGCCAGGAAUGGCAAGAAAUAUUAUUUCCUUUCAUGCUUUGUACAAACAAGGGUUUACCUUUUCAUUUAAUAAUGAAGUUGGUUCUAUAGAUGUUUUCUAUAAUAAUGUCUUUUAUUUUAAAGCAUUACCUUGUGAUGGUGUGUAUGAAGCUGUAUCUGUUGUAGAUAACUUGGGAAAUAAUGUUUUGUGUAUUGAUUCUACUAAUAAUAACUUGGAUAAAGCAUCUUUAUGGCAUUGUCGUCUUGGACAUAUAAGCAAGAAACGCAUAGGCCAACUCCAAAAGGAUGGAGUCUUGGAGUCGUUUGACCUAAAGUCAGAUGAUAGUUGCGAAUCAUGCUUACUUGGAAAAAUGACAAAGUCACCCUUCACAGGUUCGUGUGAGAGGGGUGAAGGUUUGUUGGACCUUAUACACACGGAUGUGUGUGGACCAUUCAAACAUGCCACAAGGGAUGCUAAUCGUUAUUAUUUGACUUUUACUGAUGAUUAUAGUAGAUAUGGAUAUGUCUACUUGAUCAAGCAUAAGUCAGAGACUUUCGAGAGGUUUAAGGAAUUUAAACAGGAAGUCGAGAAUCAAUUGGGCAGGAACAUUAAGAUGCUUCGAUCCGAUCGUGGUGGUGAGUAUCUUAGUUCAGAGUUCCUCGACUAUCUAAGGGAAUGUGGGAUAGUCUCACAAUUGACACCUCCCAGGACACCACAGUUGAAUGGUGUGGCUGAGAGGCGUAAUCGAACCUUGUUAGAUAUGGUUCGUUCCAUGAUGAGUCGAGCUACGCUACCAAUCUCAUUCUGGGGGUAUGCCUUAGAGACUGCCGCCCAUAUUCUUAAUCUAGUCCCUACAAAGAAAGUUGCCAAAACUCCUCACGAGAUGUGGACUGGUAAAGUACCUAAACUAGACCACAUCAAGAUUUGGGGUUGCGAGGCUUUCGUGAGACGCGAGACUCAUGAUAAGCUCGAACCUCGAAGCGAGAGGUGUAUUUUCAUCGGUUACCCACAGCGAUCCUUUGGUUACCUCUUCUACAGACCUAGUGACAAUGUGGUCUUUGUAGCAAGAAGAGGAGUCUUUCGAGAAAGAGAGUUUAUAAGCCAAGGAGACAGUGGGAGGCAAAUUGAUCUUGAAGAAAUUCAAGAAUCAAGCGGUGAAGGAACUUCAAACUCUAGCCCUCAACUUGAGGAGGAAACUCCUGUUGAGCCAAUUGACAAAUCUGUACCUCUGAGACGUUCCACGAGAGUUAGGAGUGCACCUGAGCAUUACUAUGGAUUCCAUAUUACUGCAGAAGGUGAGACACUUAUUAGUGAUGAGACACUAGUAAGUCAAGAUGACCCUAACAGCUACGAGGAAGCCAUGGCAGGCCCCGAGUCUGCUAAAUGGAAAGAGGCUAUGGAUAGCGAGAUACAAUCCAUGUAUGACAAUCAAGUUUGGAACUUGGUUGAAAAUGUACCAGGUCGUAAGACAGUAGGGUGCAAAUGGGUCUUCAAGAAGAAGACCGACAUGGAUGGUAAAGUACACACUUAUAAGGCUAGACUGGUUGCAAAGGGCUUCUCUCAAAUUCCUGGAGUGGAUUAUGAUGAGACCUUUUCUCCGGUAGCCAAGAUUAAGUCUAUUCGGGUUCUGUUAGCCAUAGCUGCAUUUCAU
rnacentral:lncRNA from 1 species